UACGUAGGGUGCGAGCGUUGUCCGGAUUUAUUGGGCGUAAAGAGCUCGUAGGCGGUUUGUCGCGUCGGCCGUGAAAUCUCCACGCUUAACGUGGAGCGUGCGGUCGAUACGGGCAGACUUGAGUUCGGUAGGGGAGACUGGAAUUCCUGGUGUAGCGGUGAAAUGCGCAGAUAUCAGGAGGAACACCGGUGGCGAAGGCGGUUCUCUGGGCAUUACCUGACGCUGGAGGAGCGAAAGUGUGGGGAGCGAACAGGA
rnacentral:rRNA from 1 species